UACGGAGGGGGCUAGCGUUGUUCGGAAUUACUGGGCGUAAAGCGCGCGUAGGCGGCUUUGUAAGUCAGAGGUGAAAGCCUGGAGCUCAACUCCAGAACUGCCUUUGAAACUACAUCGCUAGAAUCAUGGAGAGGUUAGUGGAAUUCCGAGUGUAGAGGUGAAAUUCGUAGAUAUUCGGAAGAACACCAGUGGCGAAGGCGGCUCACUGGUCCGGUUCUGACGCUGAGGCGCGAAAGCGUGGGGAGCAAACAGG
rnacentral:rRNA from 1 species